GGGGGAUAACGCAGCGAAAGUUGUGCUAAUACCGCAUACGCCCUGAGGGGGAAAGUGGGGGAUCGCAAGACCUCACGUUAUUCGAGCGUCCGACGUCUGAUUAGCUAGUUGGUGGGGUAAUGGCUCACCAAGGCGACGAUCAGUAGCGGGUCUGAGAGGAUGAUCCGCCACACUGGGACUGAGACACGGCCCAGACUCCUACGGGAGGCAGCAGUGGGGAAUUUUGGACAAUGGGGGCAACCCUGAUCCAGCCAUUCCGCGUGAGUGAAGAAGGCCUUCGGGUUGUAAAGCUCUUUCAGCAGGAACGAAACGGUAGAGGCUAAUACCCUCUGCUAAUGACGGUACCUGCAGAAGAAGCACCGGCUAACUACGUGCCAGCAGCCGCGGUAAUACGUAGGGUGCGAGCGUUAAUCGGAAUUACUGGGCGUAAAGCGUGCGCAGGCGGAUUGUUAAGCAAGACGUGAAAUCCCCGGGCUUAACCUGGGAAUGGCGUUUUGAACUGGCAGUCUAGAGUGUGUCAGAGGGGGGUGGAAUUCCACGUGUAGCAGUGAAAUGCGUAGAGAUGUGGAGGAACACCAAUGGCGAAGGCAGCCCCCUGGGAUAACACUGACGCUCAUGUACGAAAGCGUGGGUAGCAAACAGGAUUAGAUACCCUGGUAGUCCACGCCCUAAACGAUGUCAACUGGUUGUUGGGGGAGUGAAAUCCCUUAGUAACGAAGCUAACGCGUGAAGUUGACCGCCUGGGGAGUACGGUCGCAAGAUUAAAACUCAAAGGAAUUGACGGGGACCCGCACAAGCGGUGGAUGAUGUGGAUUAAUUCGAUGCAACGCGAAAAACCUUACCUACCCUUGACAUGUCCAGAAUCCUGCAGAGAUGCGGGAGUGCCCGAAAGGGAAUUGGAACACAGGUGCUGUAUGGCUGUCGUCAGCUCGUGUCGUGAGAUGUUGGGUUAAGUCCCGCAACGAGCGCAACCCUUAUCAUUAGUUGCUACGCAAGGGCACUCUAAUGAGACUGCCGGUGACAAACCGGAGGAAGGUGGGGAUGACGUCAAGUCCUCAUGGCCCUUAUGGGUAGGGCUUCACACGUCAUACAAUGGUCGGUACAGAGGGUUGCCAAGCCGCGAGGUGGAGCCAAUCCCAGAAAGCCGAUCGUAGUCCGGAUUGUUCUCUGCAACUCGAGAGCAUGAAGUCGGAAUCGCUAGUAAUCGCGGAUCAGCAUGUCGCGGUGAAUACGUUCCCGGGUCUUGUACACACCGCCCGUCACACCAUGGGAGUGGAAUCUGCCAGAAGAAGGUAGCCUAACCGCAAGGAGGGCGCUUACCACGG
rnacentral:rRNA from 1 species